CUCCGGGUGGCAAAUUCGCCGCGCAGCUACUGCUUCCAUUGUUUUCAGCCAUCACUUUCCAACAGGAAGCUUCUACUCGACCGCUUCAGAUUUUGUUUAGAUUAUACAACCUUUAUGGAGAUUUGGUUUUCAGACUCCUCGAUUUCAAAACUUCAAAAGGAUGCUGUCCUCUGGGAUUCAAGCACACCCACUUGAUUCCAAGCCCUACAUAGUCAAGAAUAUUUUUUUUCGUUUAGUAUAGAAUGUUGAUGGAUGUGCACCCUAAUAAAUGCAUUAUGUUUAAUCAUAGUAAUAACAUUGUGAGCAAUAUUUCUGUUUACUUCAUAUGUUUAUUAGGCACUGGCAUCUUUCAUUUGGUUGUAUCUUCUAAAAUGCCUUUGUGACAAUAAAUUUGAACUUU